UGGGUUGUGGCUCAGAGGUAGAGCACUCGCCUAAUAAGUGUGGGGCCCUGGGUUCAAUUCUCAGCACCACAA
rnacentral:tRNA from 1 species